CCGGUCAUGGAUGAAAAUACGAUUUUGUCCCUGCUUCAUCUCUGUUGCCCGACACCUGUCUACCGUCUCAAAACUCCCGCGUCUUUCUUCUCGACACCUGGUCUGCUGCUCAGUCCUAUCGUGUCUUCGCUACUUCGCUGGACAGAGAGGUGGAGAAAGAGAGAGAGAUAGCGAAGGAGGUGGUACUGUUUGUUGGCAUCUACGAUUCGGAUUCAAUCUUCCCUGUGUAAAUCUGGAAGUCUCUAUCUACACGGAGAGAGGCGUCUAUCUACAGUAAUAUUUGCUGAGCCAGAUUAUCGGGUUUACUGAUUGAUCAAAGCUGGAUAGAGUUUGGGUUCUUCUUGAUUCAUCGAGAAGAAAGCGGACAGUUCAGCGAAAGAGCCCGGUUUCAAUCCCAGUGGCUGCUCUUGACCUUGAUAAUGAAGAAACUACAAAAGAAGAGAGUGAGAAAGAGAAGGUAGAGCCUGAAAUUGUUGUUGUGAAUGAAGAAAAGAAAACAUGAGAAGAUGAGAAGAAGGGUGAGAGGUCUGGUGCUUCGUGCUCAAGCUUGAAUUUUCCUUGCAUGGAUAAGCUCAGGGAUGAGCUUUCGCUUUCUUGAGAGAAAUGAGGUUGGGUACUUGCAUCUGAGGAUUCUCGGCAACAUUGGAAUGGUUUCAAGGUGGAGAGAUUCCUCCUGAGAUCGGAAAGAUGGGUAGCUUGGAAGCCUGGGCAUUUCCAACGCAAUGAUCUGACAUAGUAUCCGCCUUUUAGAUAUGCCUGCAAUAUGCUUCGACAAGGAAUGAAACAAAUAAUAAUGAACUCAGAAACCCUUGAAGCUAAAGCGUUGGAGAAGGUGGAGGAUAAGUCCAAAUGAGAACUCUGAGGCGUUGGCUUUUAUCACUGAUUAGAGUUCACUCGGUUACACUUUAGAGGCAUAAGCGAUGGAGGAGGUUUCAGAGAAUCUUCAGAAACAAUUGAACAAGUCAGUGCUCGAUGAUGAAAUUAAACAUCUCCUGUAAAAGAUAUCGUAAACAGACACAGCAAGGUGCUCCGAUAGGGGAAACUGAAGCAUAUGAGAAGCAUAGAUAUCAACUCCAACUCGAGGAGGCCAUUAGUAACAAUGGCAACAAAACUUGCGCAUUCUUAGCUUACAAGCAGACCAGUGAUUGAGCAAAGGAGAAGAGGAAGACUUUGGGCUUGGGUUUGUCAGUCAUGGUAUACAGAAUUUCGUGGAGCAGUUCCUACUAGACUUGCACAGGACUUGGCAUUUUCAGUUGCAAGGUUUAUACAAAAUGGUGGUUCUUUUGCCAACUACUACAUGUACCAUGGAGGAACGAAUUUUGGCCGAACAGCUGGCGGUCCCUUCAUUGCAACUAGCUAUGACUAUGAUGCACCUCUAGAUGAAUAUGGACUACCAGGGAACCAAAAUAUAGCCAUUUGAAAUAUCUGCACAAAGCCAUCAAAUUAGAAGGGCGUGGAUCAGCAGAGGAAGGCGGUACAGCUAUUACAUCGUUGGGAUCAUCACGGGGAGAAGGGAAGAGCUUGGUUUCUUCUUUCUGUGGAUUGUGAAAGCUUUGACAUCGAAGCAGACUGGUGAUUGAGCAAAGGAGAAAAGAACGGCUUUGGAUCUGGGUUUGUGAUUGAAAUUAUGUGCCUGUUAAUUCAGACGUUGAAUCGAUCAGUACCUCAACGUGACAUGAGCGUCAAAGCGUUCAUCAUUAGCAAGCAAACAAACCCGCGGCAUCGCGCGGGAGGAAUUGCCUAGUAAUAAACGAGGAGCUAGUAUUUAAUUUAUUUUAUUUUAUUCAGUUACACAGGUCAAGCCCCACGGUGCCCUAGCCUCUCCGGCUCUCCGGCAUCCCAUUAGCCGGUCAGAGUUGGCCACAGCAAACUGCAGGUGCCAAAUGUCAUCGCCUUGGUGGUCAGUGAGAGAUGAGAGAACAGAAAAGUUCGGAUAUUAAAAAGUUAUAAACGUCUCCUAACAUUCUGCCCCCAUGUAAUAUUUGGAAAGAUCGGCAAAGCAGGGAAUGGAAACACAAUUUUUUUUUUU